rnacentral:rRNA from 1 species
GACGAACGCUGGCGGCGUGCUUAACACAUGCAAGUCGAACGGAAAGGCCCCCUUUGGGGGUACUCGAGUGGCGAACGGGGGAGUAACACGUGAGUAACCUACCCUUGACUUUGGGAUAACUUCAGGAAACUGGGGCUAAUACCGGAUAGGAGCUCCUGCUGCAUGGGGGGGGUUGGAAAGUUUCGGCGGUUGGGGAUGGACUCGCGGCUUAUCAGCUUGUUGGUGGGGUAGUGGCUCACCAAGGCUCUGACGGGUAGCCGGCCUGAGAGGGUGACCGGCCACAUUGGGACUGAGAGACGGCCCAGACGCCUACGGGAGGCAGCAGUGGGGAAUAUUGCACAAUGGGCGGAAGCCUGAUGCAGCAACGCCGCGUGCGGGAUGACGGCCUUCGGGUUGUAAACCGCUUUCGCCUGUGACGAAGCGUGAGUGACGGUAAUGGGUAAAGAAGCACCGGCUAACUACGUG